rnacentral:rRNA from 1 species
ACCACUUCGGUGGGGAUGAGUGGCGAACGGGUGAGUAACACGUGGGUAAUCUGCCCUGCACUCUGGGAUAAGCCUUGGAAACGAGGUCUAAUACCGGAUAUCACAACUUCAGGCAUCUGUUGUUGUUGAAAGUUCUGGCGGUGCAGGAUGAACCCGCGGCCUAUCAGCUUGUUGGUGGGGUAAUGGCCUACCAAGGCGACGACGGGUAGCCGGCCUGAGAGGGUGACCGGCCACACUGGGACUGAGACACGGCCCAGACUCCUACGGGAGGCAGCAGUGGGGAAUAUUGCACAAUGGGCGCAAGCCUGAUGCAGCGACGCCGCGUGAGGGAUGACGGCCUUCGGGUUGUAAACCUCUUUCGCCAGGGACGAAGCGCAAGUGACGGUACCUGGAUAAGAAGCACCGGCUAACUACGUGCCAGCAGCCGCGGUAAUACGUAGGGUGCGAGCGUUGUCCGGAUUUAUUGGGCGUAAAGAGCUCGUAGGCGGUUUGUCGCGUCGGCCGUGAAAUCUCCACGCUUAACGUGGAGCGUGCGGUCGAUACGGGCAGACUUGAGUUCGGUAGGGGAGACUGGAAUUCCUGGUGUAGCGGUGAAAUGCGCAGAUAUCAGGAGGAACACCGGUGGCGAAGGCGGGUCUCUGGGCCGAUACUGACGCUGAGGAGCGAAAGCGUGGGGAGCGAACAGGAUUAGAUACCCUGGUAGUCCACGCUGUAAACGUUGGGCGCUAGGUGUGGGCGACAUCCACGUUGUCCGUGCCGUAGCUAACGCAUUAAGCGCCCCGCCUGGGGAG